UACAGAGGGGGCAAGCGUUGUUCGGAUUUACUGGGCGUAAAGGAGCGCGCAGGCGGUCGAUCAAGUCGAGUGUGAAAGCCCCCGGCUACCAACUGGGGAGGGUCAUUCGAUACUGAUCGACUCGAAGGCAGGAGAGGGUAGUGGAAUUCCCGGUGUAGUGAGUGAAAUGCGUAGAUAUCGGGAGGAACACCGAUGGCGAAGGCAGGUCUCUGGCAUUAACUGACGCUGAGGUGCGAAAGCGUGGGGAGCAACAGG
rnacentral:rRNA from 1 species